UUUAGGUACUCUUCUGCUGGACAUUACCUAAGCUUCCCUCAUCCCCUCAGUGUGAUAGCUGACUGAUUUGAUCACUCGCAUGGGAAUUUUUAGGAUAGAAACAAAUUUGGCUGUCCUUUCCAUCUGGAAAUUUGAUUAAGGUCUGUGCACUGCCACAUAACAGCGCAAAGUAUAGAUGUCAGUUUCUAACAGCUUUAGAAUGCAUGCAUUGUGUUGAGGUUUACUUCUUAAGCAUAGAUCUCAUGUGGAAUGAUUUCUACCUUGAAUAAUCUUUAUCUGAAAUGUUGGCAGAUCAGAAAUCUGUCUCUUUGGUUACCAUCAAGAGUUUUCUAGCAGAAGAUGCUGAGUGAUUACGGUGAAUAUCAGAGUGGUUGUGAUUCCCAGUGGGACUGGACAGUAAUACAAGUACUGUAGAGUUUGUGCCUGCAUUUUUCAUGCUCUUCUACUCAGAACUAAAUGUUGCAUGUGACAGCUGUAGAGCACAUGAAGUCAGCGCACCUUCUUGCCUGCCUCUCAGCAGUCAUCUUUAAGCAAGACUUGCUGGAAAGGUCUUGACAUUGUUUUGUUGGCAUUGUGGAAGAAACUUGAAUUGCUUCUGAAACUCAGAAAAACACGUGACUUGCAGGGUCCAUUGUGUAAAGAGAUUAGGAAUGAAAUAAUGACGUACUGUGUACUAGCCAAACUACUCUUUGUCAUACUAAGAGACUUAAUGAAAUUCCAGAGUUUCAUAACCAAAUUAAGGAUAACUCUUUUUAAAUUUUACUUUCAUGAAAAGGAUAGAUUAAAAUGUUUUAGAGGAGUCAAAAUAUGAAGAUGUGGUUCUAUAUUUCUGCUUAGAAAAAGAAAAAUUGAACCGGAUGAGGAAAGUGAUGUUUUUCCCUAUUGGAUUUCACAGUUGUACUAUUUGGAUUGAUCCAGCUGUAGAAAAUUUUCUUCCUUUAGGAGAAGCAUUCUUGGCAAUAAAAUGUUUGUACAAGCAGCAAUAAGAGAACACUUUCAGGUGUAAAAACUACAGACCUAUAAGGCAACCCAAUGAAAUUUAGAAACCUGAGAAUAAUAA
ensembl:lncRNA